rnacentral:rRNA from 1 species
UACGUAGGGCGCAAGCGUUGUCCGGAAUUAUUGGGCGUAAAGAGCUCGUAGGCGGUUUGUCGCGUCUGGUGUGAAAACUCAAGGCUCAACCUUGAGCUUGCAUCGGGUACGGGCAGACUAGAGUGCGGUAGGGGUGACUGGAAUUCCUGGUGUAGCGGUGGAAUGCGCAGAUAUCAGGAGGAACACCGAUGGCGAAGGCAGGUCACUGGGCCGCAACUGACGCUGAGGCGCGAAAGCUAGGGGAGCGAACGGG